AAAUGAAUCCAUCAAAUAUUCGUAAUGCAUAUGUGUAUAUAUAGUCACUUUACUCUGAUGUUCUACUUUUGGAUGAAUUACGUAAACUGGAAAUAUAAAGAAAAAAGUGUAUUUCCGACCAAAACCAAAAGCAAAAACUUAAAAAGAAUAUGUGUAUAUAUAUAUAUGAUAUUUUUAUUAAUUAAUUUUUAUCUUUUAAUUGACAACAUAUUGUUGAACGUUUUCAACAAGUCUCAUGGUUUCAUCUCAUCUAUAUAUCCAUGGAAAAACAGAGUCACUUCUCCCACUUUCAUCCCGACACAUAUUUGUUGAAUCCGGAUGGAUCGCUCAAAUACAACUUUGAGCAUCUAAACCAUUUUUUAGUGAACGAGAGCAUGAUUCAAGAGGAAGACUGCAAGUGUAUCGUAGAAAGAGAAAACAAGGAGAGAGGAAGCAGCUCAAAGUCAAAACAAAACAAGAAGAAAAUGAGUUUCAAGAAGGAAAAUGCCAAAGCUGAUCCAUGUUUUAGAAAUAUGGUGGUAAUUAUCAAAUAUAUUA
rnacentral:sRNA from 1 species